UCGGAAUGUGAACUGCAGGACAUAUGAGCAUCGACACUUUGAACGCAUAUUGCGGGCGCUGGCUCGUCCACCGCCCAUGUCUGGCUCAGGGUCGGUUUAACAUCUCUCCCCGGGGUUCUCCCCCGGGGCACUGGGCUCUCGCCUCGCCCCUCCCCGGGCUGCGGCGUGGCUUCAAGUUGCGAGCUCGUCUGUCUGGCCCGACGGUUUGACUCUUGGGAUACCUCUCCCGGGUCUCGCCUCUGGCCGGCCUGCGAGCGCUGGCGUUCCCCCCUGUCGGGGACGCCGGCGACCCGAUCCUUACUUCGACCUGAGAGCAGGCAAGGUGACCCGCCAAAUUUAAGCAUAUUAAUAAGCGGAGGAAAAGAAAACAACCGUGAUGCCCUUAGUAAUGGCGAAUGAAACGGGCAGAGCCCAGCACCGAACCGCCGGCCUUCGGUCGCGUGGAAUGUGGUGUUUGGGGGAGCCUCCUCGCGACGUUUCGGCCAGUCAAAGUCCACCUUGAC
rnacentral:rRNA from 1 species